rnacentral:tRNA from 1 species
GGGCGCGUAGCUCAGCGGGAGAGCGCUCGCUUCACACGCGAGAGGUCGCUGGUUCGAUCCCAGCCGCGCCCACUA